ACCCCUCAGAGGAAAUCUUGUCCUCAUGGAGGUGGGAAGUUUCUGACCAGCAGCCACAUGAUCAGAUUUCCCUCUUGGACACAAGGAGAAGGUGGACGAGGCAGGAGUCAGGCCAAGAACAGGAAUUACUAGACAAACAUCAAAGAACAAAAUCCACUACAGAAGCUGGACCCGAGGAAAGGGAGGCAGUGCACAACCUGGUUAAAAGUCACAGAGAAAAGAGAAGAAGAGGAAGGAGGACACACCGAGGGAACCACCAGCUGUUUCUUAGAACAGGACUCACUGAGAACAGAAAGCUCUUAAAGGAUUUUCAUCCGACCUGAAGCUCGUCUGUCUCUGUCGGGGAAACAUGAGGACUCUGGUGACCAUCCUACUUCUGACUCUCGUCUGCUUCCUGAGUUACAGCUCUCUCUUUUUUUUUCCUGUUAGU